rnacentral:rRNA from 1 species
UAGGGAAUAUUAGAAAUGGACGAAAGUCUGAUCUAGCAACACCGCGUGUGCGAAGAAGGCCUUCGGGUUGUAAAGCACUUUUUGGAAGGAUUAGGAAGGAAUGUACUUCCAGAAUAAGCCUCGGCUAACUACGUGCCAGCAGCCGCGGUAAAACGUAGGAGGCGAGCGUUAUCCGGAUUUACUGGGCGUAAAGCGUGUGUAGGCGGUUUGAUAAGUUGGAUGUGAAAGCUCCUGGCUUAACUGGGAGAGGUCGUUCAAAACUAUCAGACUUUAGAGUGGUAGAGGGAGGUGGAAUUCCGCAUGUAGUGGGGAAAUGCGUAGAUAUAUGGAAGAACACCAGUGGCGAAAGCGGCCUCCUGGACCACUCCUGACACUCAGACGCGAAAGCUAGGGUAGCAAACG